ACUUGUUUCUCUUUUCUAUACCUAAUUAGGGAUGGAGGUAAUUGACCCAUUACCUCAUUUAAAGUCCCAACCAACCCUCCCCCCGCCCACUUUAUAUACCAUAACUAGGGAUGGAAGCAUGUAUUUUACGGGACUACAUUUUUGUCUAUUUUGUGUUAAUAUCCAGUACUGCAUUAUUGUUGUUUUUCUAAGUGCUAGCAGCAAUGUGCUUACAACUGUUUCAUUAGUAUCUGUCACAUUUUGAGUACGGCUGGGUAUUUUGGGCCAUUCCACAUCUGUUCACAGGUUCCCUGGCGCUGUCUGGCUAAGGGUGUUGGCACCUCCGGCCCCCUGUGGGGUGUGGUCCUAUCCGGGGGCAGCAACACUCACUGCACACGCUCUCCGUCCUGUGCUCCGAAGACGCACGGACGGAUGGGCGGGCAGUGCGUGUCGAUGUCACGCCUCCAUCACCUGACACGGAACUAGGUCUCCGUGCGGUGUAUUGGUAUACCAUCCACGAGGGGUUACAGGAGUCAAACGGCGCCGCAUCAUUGGGCGGUUACCCCGCACCAAUGCAGACGCCUCCCUUCUCCUCCCCCUCGUAUGCGUGUCUCUGGGCGGGUAACAUUGGGGGGGUGGUCCCUAUAAGAGGGUGUAACCUAUGGCAGGUACAGGCAUUUGGCUCUUCACAUGUCAUCACUCCAUGCAGCACACUCGGAACUCACAGCCAUCAUUCCUUACCGACCACAGUGCAUUCAAUACACUAUGCCUCAUGCCUGUGCCACCUGGGUGCGCUCUCCUGACGGGCCCUGCACCCCUCAUUCUCCAGCCCUAGUCCCCGGCAGUGACCACCCCAAUCCUGGGGUCCAUCCGGAGCUUCACUCUAGUGCCGGCGGCAAUCGGCAACCUGAUAACCAAUGUAAUGCAUGCCUGAUCCUGAUGAGCG